rnacentral:rRNA from 1 species
ACGGCCUAAAGCGUGGUUAAAUAAUGUUAAAACUAAUAGGAAUAAAAAUUUACUCAACUGUCGCACGUAUUUGUUAAACGGAACCCCAAAACCGAAAGAUAUUCUAAUAAAUAAACUACUUGAACCCACGAAAGCUAAGGAACAAACUAGGAUUAGAUACCCUACUAUGCUUAGCCUUAAACUUUAGAACCAUUCCGCCUGAGUACUACGAGCUAUAGCUUAAAACUCAAAGGACUUGGCGGUGCUUUAUACCCCCCUAGAGGAGCCUGUUCUAUAAUUGAUAAUCCCCGCUAAACCUCACCACUUAUUGCCAAUCCCGCCUAUAUACCGCCGUCGUCAGCUCACCAUUUAAAUGAAUAAUAGUAAGCAUAAUGAUAAACAUAAAAACGUCAGGUCAAGGUGUAGCGAAUUAAGUGGAAAGAAAUGGGCUACAUUUUCUAUAUAGAAAAUACGAAAAAUGUCAUGAAAAAAAAUUUAAAGGUGGAUUUAGCAGUAAAAAGAAAAUAGAGUGUUCUUUUUAAACAGGCCCUAAAGCGCGCACACACCGCCCGUCACCCUCCUCAAAAACCAAUUAAUAAUAAUAUAAUAAUAAAAAACAAAAGAAGAGGUAAGUCGUAACAUGGUAAGUUUACCGGAAGGUGUACUUGGAUUAU